CGGAUUGGAGUCUGNAACCCGACUCCAUGAAGCUGGAUUCGCUAGUAAUCGCGCAUCAGCCACGGCGCGGUGAAUACGUUCCCGGGCCUUGUACACACCGCCCGUCAAGCCAUGGAAGCCGGGGGUGCCUAAAGUGCGUGACCGCAAGGGACGCCCUAGGGUAAAACCGGUGAUGGGGCUAAGUCGUAACAAGGUAAC
rnacentral:rRNA from 1 species